GUCCCUCAAGAGCAACGGAUAGCGCGUUGGACUUCUAAUCCAUAGGUCGUAGGUUCGAAUCCUACAUGGGAUG